rfam:Staphylococcus epidermidis RP62A, complete genome.
UAAUGAUAAUUGAAAAUGAUUAUCAAUACCAAUUGAAAAACAUUCCCCCCACAUACAAGUUGUUCUUUUGGAUUGGUCAUUUUCAACUAUCCCCUUUUAUAUGCCCGUAAAAGACUAACGUUAAGAAAUGACGUUUCAAUAAAAGCAGUAGACCUUUGACACUUGAGGUCUGCUGUUUUU